rnacentral:rRNA from 1 species
CGGAUUGUAGUCUGCAACCCGACUACAUGAAGCUGGAAUCGCUAGUAAUCGCGAAUCAGAAUGUCGCGGUGAAUACGUUCCCGGGUCUUGUACACACCGCCCGUCACACCAUGGGAGUCGGAAAUGCCCGAAGUCAGUGACCUAACCGAAAGGGAGGAGCUGCCGAAGGUGGAGCCGGUAACUGGGGUGAAGUCGUAACAAGGUAUC